AGAAUCAACGCUGGCGGCGUGCCUAACACAUGCAAGUCGAACGAGAAAGUGGAGCAAUCCAUGAGUAAAGUGGCGACCGGGUGAGUAACACGUGACUAACCUACCUUCGAGUGGGGGAUAACCUCGGGAAACCGAGGCUAAUACCGCAUAACAUCGCAAGAUCAAAGCAGCAAUGCGCUGGAAGAGGGGGGUCGCGGCUGAUUAGCUAGUUGGCGGGGUAACGCCCACCAAGGCGAAGAUCGGUAGCCGGCCUGAGAGGGCGCACGGCCACACUGGAACUGAAACACGGUCCAGACUCCUACGGGAGGCAGCAGUGGGGAAUUUUGCGCAAUGGGGGAAACCCUGACGCAGCAACGCCGCGUGGAGGAUGAAGCCCCUUGGGGCGUAAACUCCUUUCGACCAAGACGAUAAUGACGGUACUGGUGGAAGAAGCACCGGCUAACUCUGCGCCAGCAGCCGC
rnacentral:rRNA from 1 species